GUGAAGGGCGAGCUGAGCAGCGACGCCGCGUGAGGGAUGAAGCUUUUCGGAGUGUAAACCCCUUUCGACCCGGACGAAAGCCCUCAAGGGCCUGACGGUACGGGUAUAAGAAGCCCCGGAUAACUACGUGCCAACAUCCGCGGUAAAACGUACGGGGCCAGCGUUGCUCGGAAUUACUGGGCGAUUAGGGUCUGUAAGCGGUGCGGCAAGUCGGAAGUGAAAUCUCAUGGCUUAACCCUGGGGCUGCUCCCGAAACUGCCAUGCUCAACUGCUAGAUAGGCGGGUGGAAAUGCAAGUGUAACUCUGAAAUGCGUAGAUAUCUGCACGAACAUCCGAAGCAAAAGCCGCCCGCUGGAUCGCUCCUGACGCUGAUAGACAAACUCUAAGGCAGCAAACUGGAUUACAUACCCUGUUAGUCCUAGUGCUAAACGAUGAUCGCUUGGAGUGGCGCUUAUCCAACCCUGCCGCGCCUAACCUAACGCGUUAACCGAUCCGCCUGGCGAGUACGGUC
rnacentral:rRNA from 1 species